AUGCAGUCGUAAGAAUAGUAGCGAGGAGCUUGCUCCUUGGGUGACGAGUGGCGGACGGGUGAGUAAUGUCUGGGAAACUGCCCGAUGGAGGGGGAUAACUACUGGAAACGGUAGCUAAUACCGCAUAACGUCGCAAGACCAAAGAGGGGGACCUUCGGGCCUCUUGCCAUCGGAUGUGCCCAGAUGGGAUUAGCUAGUAGGUGGGGUAACGGCUCACCUAGGCGACGAUCCCUAGCUGGUCUGAGAGGAUGACCAGCCACACUGGAACUGAGACACGGUCCAGACUCCUACGGGAGGCAGCAGUGGGGAAUAUUGCACAAUGGGCGCAAGCCUGAUGCAGCCAUGCCGCGUGUAUGAAGAAGGCCUUCGGGUUGUAAAGUACUUUCAGCGAGGAGGAAGGUGUUGUGGUUAAUAACCGCAGCAAUUGACGUUACUCGCAGAAGAAGCACCGGCUAACUCCGUGCCAGCAGCCGCGGUAAU
rnacentral:rRNA from 1 species